GACGAACGCUGGCGGCGUGCUUAACACAUGCAAGUCGAACGAAGUGGCGGACGGGUGAGUAACGCGUGAGGAACCUGCCUUUCAGAGGGGGACAACAGUUGGAAACGACCGCUAAUACCGCAUGCUGAAAGAUGGCCUCGCGUCUGAUUAGCUAGUUGGUGAGGUAACGGCCCACCAAGGCGACGAUCAGUAGCCGGACUGAGAGGUUGACCGGCCACAUUGGGACUGAGAUACGGCCCAGACUCCUACGGGAGGCAGCAGUGGGGAAUAUUGGGCAAUGGGCGCAAGCCUGACCCAGCAACGCCGCGUGAAGGAAGAAGGCUUUCGGGUUGUAAACUUCUUUUAAGAGGGAAGCUGUACCUCUAGAAUAAGCCACGGCUAACUACGUGCCAGCAGCCGCGGUAAUACGUAGGUGGCAAGCGUUGUCCGGAUUUACUGGGUGUAAAGGGCGUGCAGCCGGGAAUGCAAGUCAGAUGUGAAAUCCAUGGGCUUAACCCAUGAACUGCAUUUGAAACUGUAUUUCUUGAGUACUGGAGAGGCAAUCGGAAUUCCUAGUGUAGCGGUGAAAUGCGUAGAUA
rnacentral:rRNA from 1 species